rnacentral:rRNA from 1 species
CCUACGGGUGGCAGCAGUGAGGAAUAUUGGUCAAUGGACGGGAGUCUGAACCAGCCAAGUAGCGUGCAGGAUGACUGCCCUAUGGGUUGUAAACUUCUUUUAUAUGGGAAUAAAAUCUUCCACGUGUGGGAGUUUGUAUGUACCAUAUGAAUAAGGAUCGGCUAACUCCGUGCCAGCAGCCGCGGUAAUACGGAGGAUCCGAGCGUUAUCCGGAUUUAUUGGGUUUAAAGGGAGCGUAGGUGGAUUGUUAAGUCAGUUGUGAAAGUUGGCGGCUCAACCGUAGAAUUGCAGUUGAAACUGGCAGCCUUGAGUACACGAGAGGUGGGCGGAAUUCGUGGUGUAGCGGUGAAAUGCUUAGAUAUCACGAAGAACCCCGAUUGCGAAGGCAGCUCACUGGAGUGCAACUGACACUGAGGCUCGAAAGUGUGGGUAUCAAACAGGAUUAGAUACCCUUGUAGUC